AAAGGCCCUUCGGGGUACUCGAGUGGCGAACGGGUGAGUAACACGUGGGUGAUCUGCCCUGCACUUUGGGAUAAGCCUGGGAAACUGGGUCUAAUACCGAAUAUGACCGCGCACUUCCUGGUGUGUGGUGGAAAGCUUUUGCGGUGUGGGAUGGGCCCGCGGCCUAUCAGCUUGUUGGUGGGGUAAUGGCCUACCAAGGCGACGACGGGUAGCCGGCCUGAGAGGGUGACCGGCCACACUGGGACUGAGAUACGGCCCAGACUCCUACGGGAGGCAGCAGUGGGGAAUAUUGCACAAUGGGCGCAAGCCUGAUGCAGCGACGCCGCGUGAGGGAUGACGGCCUUCGGGUUGUAAACCUCUUUCAAUAGGGACGAAGCGCAAGUGACGGUACCUAUAGAAGAAGGACCGGCCAACUACGUGCCAGCAGCCGCGGUAAUACGUAGGGUCCGAGCGUUGUCCGGAAUUACUGGGCGUAAAGAGCUCGUAGGUGGUUUGUCGCGUUGUUCGUGAAAACUCACAGCUUAACUGUGGGCGUGCGGGCGAUACGGGCAGACUAGAGUACUGCAGGGGAGACUGGAAUUCCUGGUGUAGCGGUGGAAUGCGCAGAUAUCAGGAGGAACACCGGUGGCGAAGGCGGGUCUCUGGGCAGUAACUGACGCUGAGGAGCGAAAGCGUGGGGAGCGAACAGGAUUAGAUACCCUGGUAGUCCACGCCGUAAACGGUGGGUACUAGGUGUGGGUUUCCUUCCUUGGGAUCCGUGCCGUAGCUAACGCAUUAAGUACCCCGCCUGGGGAGUACGGCCGCAAGGCUAAAACUCAAAGAAAUUGACGGGGGCCCGCACAAGCGGCGGAGCAUGUGGAUUAAUUCGAUGCAACGCGAAGAACCUUACCUGGGUUUGACAUGCACAGGACGCCAGUAGAGAUAUUGGUUCCCUUGUGGCCUGUGUGCAG
rnacentral:rRNA from 1 species